rnacentral:tRNA from 1 species
GUCUUGGUAGCUCAGUUGGUAGAGCAAAUGACUCUUAAUCAUUGGGUCGAGGGUUCGAGCCCCUCCCGGGACAC